GCCAAAUACCUUUGGCGAUAUAGUGUAACUGCACGGACAUUUGGCACACCUGCACAAUCUAAUCUAAUGAUCCAAAUGUGCAAUACUUCACAAAAGUGAGUACACACCUUUUAUUUCAGCAUAUGUUAAUAUAACUUAACACUUAAGAAUGUACAACAAUAAGUGUGUCCUCCCUACAGUCAAGCAUGGUGAUGAUAUUGUCAUGGUCCGGGGCUGCAUGAGUCCUGCCGGCACUCCGGAGUGACAGUUCAUUGGUAGAAACAUGGACGCAAACAUAUACUGUAACCUACUGAAUAUUGAGUUCAGCAUCUUUUACGGAUGUGUUUCUGUAUUACCGGUAGAUGUCACAAGAUUGUGCAGGUGUACAAGAACCAUGUCAGAGUGUGUAAGGUUGCAUGCACAUGUAAAGGCAUGUGCUUUUGUACUUGGCUCAGACCCCACCUCUGUUUUCCCUGGCAACGUCAGGCCGGAUGAGAGCCAGCGUCCUCUCUACACGCUCUUCCUCCGCAUCCUGCUCCGUUCCCGAGGCUGUGCUAAUGUUGGGGAAGAAGAAAGCAAGCUCCCUGCUGGCCCGGUCGCUGUCCUCGCUGCCAUGCACUGCGUUGAACAGCGUCUGUGUGCCGUAUUGUGCCCUCAAGCUGCCCGGUACACGGGAGGGAAAUAAGAGAAGAGCAGAUGGUUGCUUGGCUGGUGCUCGACCAUGGAGGAGCAUCAUGUUUGGGUGUGGCUGACAUAGACGGGCUUUUUGCUGGUGCAAUCAUUUCUGUAUGCACUCAUGUCAGCCACAGCAAACGAAGUAAUCACAACACAUUCUGACUGAUAACAGAUACUAGGUUGCAAGGUGGCAAACGGGAGAUGCGCACAUACCUUGUACACAGUUUCUGCUAUCUCACCUUUCUGGCUUCUCUCUCAUGGCUUCUUCUAUGUUUGUAGGGCCGAUGAAGUCAAGCCAGGCUUGCACCACACUGGCUGAGUCCCCAAGCUGACAAAGCACCAGAAUGUGGGAGGGCCCGCUGGACAUAAAUUGCACCAGGUCUUCAAAACAAUCCUGCAGAAUGAAGAUGCACAACCUCCUCUUCUAUCUUCUCAUUAUCCAGGACAUAAUUUAUUACCUGGCAGGAACCAUAAAUACUCAACUCACUUUACGUUCACCGCCUUGCUCCAGCACUGACUUCUCCUUUGCCAGUUCUUCUACGAUCAUCCUCUGAAGGAGAGGAGCAUUGGCCCCUCGCAGCAUAGCCACCAGCUCCCCACCCUGUCCAUACAGCACAAGGUUGACACUCGUUUUUCUUGAAUCAAGUUAUUUUCUGGAGACCUCAGGCAGAAUCCCCUCAGACGAAAUGUUGGGUCUCGGGAGAAGUCACUUGAAAAAGGCGUCAAAGUCCGUGUCCAGGCGGGAGGUCGAGAUCCAAAAGGGGCAGCCAGAGAACCAGAGGGGAACACAGGGAGACGAGACACACAUCUCGUAACGCGGGAACAGAGGAAUGCUGCUGGAAAAGGCCAAAGGGGGCACAAGACCAAUGAACACGGAGGGGGAAAAACACAGAGAGAGAGUAUGCAUAUAGCUUGGAGAAUUUCGGCUUGCUGUACAGGAACAGGUCGCUACGUUCUGGCCCAGGAUUCUGGCUUAAGAAGGCAGGAGAGCUCA